GCCAGUGUGGUUUAGUGGUUUGAGUAUUGAACUUUGACUCUGGAGACCAGGAUGCAAAUCCCUGAUUGGCC